rnacentral:rRNA from 1 species
CCUACGGGAGGCAGCAGUGGGGAAUUUUGGACAAUGGGCGAAAGCCUGAUCCAGCAAUGCCGCGUGCAGGAAGAAGGCCUUCGGGUUGUAAACUGCUUUUGUACGGAACGAAACGGUUCGCUUUAAUACAGUGGGCUAAUGACGGUACCGUAAGAAUAAGCACCGGCUAACUACGUGCCAGCAGCCGCGGUAAUACGUAGGGUGCGAGCGUUAAUCGGAAUUACUGGGCGUAAAGCGUGCGCAGGCGGUUAUAUAAGACAGUUGUGAAAUCCCCGGGCUCAACCUGGGAAUUGCAUCUGUGACUGUAUAGCUAGAGUACGGUAGAGGGGGAUGGAAUUCCGCGUGUAGCAGUGAAAUGCGUAGAUAUGCGGAGGAACACCGAUGGCGAAGGCAAUCCCCUGGACCUGUACUGACGCUCAUGCACGAAAGCGUGGGGAGCAAACAGGAUUAGAUACCCUGGUAGUCCACGCCCUAAACGAUGUCAACUGGUUNUUGGGUGCAUUAGUACUCAGUAACGAAGCUAACGCGUGAAGUUGACCGCUGGGGAGUACGGCCGCAGUUGAAACUCAAGGAAUUGACGGNNGAGAGNGCGAGACGACGACGAGGAGGAGG